GUCGAGCGGAUGAGUGGAGCUUGCUCCAUGAUUCAGCGGCGGACGGGUGAGUAAUGCCUAGGAAUCUGCCUGGUAGUGGGGGACAACGUUUCGAAAGGAACGCUAAUACCGCAUACGUCCUACGGGAGAAAGCAGGGGACCUUCGGGCCUUGCGCUAUCAGAUGAGCCUAGGUCGGAUUAGCUAGUUGGUGAGGUAAAGGCUCACCAAGGCGACGAUCCGUAACUGGUCUGAGAGGAUGAUCAGUCACACUGGAACUGAGACACGGUCCAGACUCCUACGGGAGGCAGCAGUGGGGAAUAUUGGACAAUGGGCGAAAGCCUGAUCCAGCCAUGCCGCGUGUGUGAAGAAGGUCUUCGGAUUGUAAAGCACUUUAAGUUGGGAGGAAGGGCAGUAAGUUAAUACCUUGCUGUUUUGACGUUACCGACAGAAUAAGCACCGGCUAACUUCGUGCCAGCAGCGGCGGU
rnacentral:rRNA from 1 species